rnacentral:tRNA from 2 species
GCCGGAGUGGCGGAACUGGCAGACGCACAGGACUUAAAAUCCUGGGGGACUUAUCCUCCCGUACCGGUUCGAUUCCGGUCUCCGGCACCA